CAACAACAUUCUAUGAAUAUUCUUGAGCAACAAGAGGAAUGUGCUGACGGGUACUCUGUGUCCUAGAUGCCUUGGAGGAAGACAUGGAUCCCAUCAAAGGAGACAGCGCCGGAGGCACACCUCUCACCAUGGGGACAGGAGCAUCUGGUGAAUGCGGUACGUAUUCUGGAAUCAGCCUCUUCCUGAGACAAAACUCUAGAUGUUAAUGCAGGUGGGGCAUCCUUGCAAUCCUCAGUCUGGCGAGCCGCCCUGAUUGGGUUGUGGGGGUGUGGUGGACAGGAGAUUUCCCAGGUGAAAAAGUGUGUCCAUGUGUCUACAGUCCUAGGA
rnacentral:lncRNA from 1 species